rnacentral:ncRNA from 1 species
UUAAAUACGAUGAAGAGGAAUAGUACAUCAAUUCCAAGCGAUCAGAGAGCUGUUGUCCGGUGCAAAACAGCCGCAUAGGAAUGUUGGAACUCGCCUUGAAGUAGCUCGCUGAACUGUAGUAGGUGGAGCCGGAGUCCUAACCGUUAUCAAUUAGGGGAUAUAAGUUCACUGCAACUGGACCUGUAUCUGCCUGAGUGCAUACCAUAUGGUAUGAAUUAGAGUGGUACCACGUAAGAUGUAAAGUCUUUCGUCUCUUAU